UACGGGGGGGGCAAGCGUUGUUCGGAAUUACUGGGCGUAAAGGGCUCGUAGGCGGCCAACUAAGUCAGACGUGAAAUCCCCCGGCUUAACCAGGGAACUGCGUCUGAUACUGGAUGGCUUGAGUUUGGGAGAGGGAUGCGGAAUUCCAGGUGUAGCGGUGAAAUGCGUAGAUAUCUGGAGGAACACCGGUGGCGAAGGCGGCAUCCUAGACCAACACUGACGCUGAGGAGCGAAAGCCAGGGGAGCAAACGGG
rnacentral:rRNA from 1 species